CAUUAGAUGGCUGAAAGUAAGCAAUGAUCUCUUAAAUCAUCUUAUAGUAAUUAACAUCUACUUCUAAUG
rnacentral:tRNA from 1 species